rnacentral:rRNA from 1 species
UACGGAGGGUGCAAGCGUUAUCCGGUUUCACUGGGUUUAAAGGGUGCGUAGGCGGGCAGGUAAGUCAGUGGUGAAAUCCUAGAGCUUAACUCUAGAACUGCCAUUGAUACUAUCUGUCUUGAAUAUUGUGGAGGUAAGCGGAAUAUGUCAUGUAGCGGUGAAAUGCUUAGAUAUGACAUAGAACACCUAUUGCGAAGGCAGCUUACUACGCAUAUAUUGACGCUGAGGCACGAAAGCGUGGGGAGCAAACAGG